AGUGAACGCUGGCGGUAGGCCUAACACAUGCAAGUCGAACGGCAGCACAGUAAGAGCUUGCUCUUACGGGUGGCGAGUGGCGGACGGGUGAGGAAUACAUCGGAAUCUACUUUUUCGUGGGGGAUAACGUAGGGAAACUUACGCUAAUACCGCAUACGACCUACGGGUGAAAGCAGGGGAUCUUCGGACCUUGCGCGAUUGAAUGAGCCGAUGUCGGUUUAGCUAGUUGGCGGGGUAAAGGCCCACCAAGGCGACGAUCCGUAGCUGGUGUGGGAGACUGGUCAGCCACAUUGGAACUGGAACACGGACCAGGCUCCUACGGGAGGCACCAGUGUGGAAUAGUGGACAAUGGGGGCAAGCCUGACCCAGUCAGACCGCGUGUGUGAAGAAGGCCCUCGGGUCGUAAAGCCCUUUUGUGGGGAAUGAAAAGCAGCAGGUUAAUACCACGCUGUUCUGACGGUACCCAAAGAAUAAGCACCGGCUAACUUCGUG
rnacentral:rRNA from 1 species